AAAUAUUUGCUAGAAAGAGUAUAAAAGUAAAAAUCGCCAUCGUGUUUCAACGGUUGAAUCCCUGUGGUUCGUCGUGUUAGCGCUGGUAAAAACGUGAAGGUUGGUCGUUUUAACAUUGCAAUUUAGAUGUGUGAUUUCAAUACUAAGUGCAGUAUUUAGCUUUACUAAAAGUAGAUUACAUGUGCUUGUUUUGCUUUUAUAACAGAGCCUCUCAACACACUCUCAAUGGCGUUCUUGUCGAAUUCGCUGAAUGUUGCAGGUCGUGCGCUGAGAACAAAUGCAUAUUUAUCCAACGUAGUUCGUAAAGCUUGGUACACUCAAACGCAGGUGAA